GGUUGAAGGUCUGUGUUUGUAGACCUAAACUAAAUAGGUUUGGGAAGGAAAGAGAGUCACCUCUUUUUCCUCCCAGGUCUUUGUUUGUGUUGUAAUAUACAUAUUUUGGUAGGUUUUAUGUGGAUUUCUCAAAGCUGAUUGGGCGCUCAGGUUGCGGCGUGAACGCCCUGUGAUUAUGUCAGAUCGCGUGCAGAGCGAACCAGCCCAGCCUUUGAACUUCACCGCUUUUGGCUCUCAUUCACUAGCUUCUCCUCGCUUGUCAGCCAGGUGCUUCGCGGGACGAGAAUCCUCCGAGAAAAAGCGCACGAGCACACCGUGGAAACUUAGCUUCCCGCCCUGGAUUUUGCGGAGCGAGGGGCUGUUCUUGCCUGAGCCCCCAGUGUCAUUUUUAACAAACAUCUUUCAUCUACACGACCACACGGAAGAAUUACUGGAUUUUUUUCAUUGAUGUCGUUUUUAAACUUCUCCAACUUUUCAGAAGUGGCAUGAUCCGUGUCUGUCUACAUAAUAGGUGAAUACUAAUUUCUCUUGGUUAAAGAACUUCUUGUCGUUAUUUUGAAAGAGGAGUUUAAACGGCGCUGUGAAAAUGUCAAAGCCGGCAGAUCACAUCAAGAGACCCAUGAACGCCUUCAUGGUCUGGUCAAGAGGCCAGAGGAGGAAAAUGGCUCAAGAGAAUCCCAAGAUGCACAAUUCAGAAAUAAGUAAAAGACUCGGCGCCGAAUGGAAACUGCUUUCUGAAUCCGAGAAACGACCAUACAUCGACGAGGCCAAGAGGCUUAGGGCUCAACACAUGAAAGAGCACCCAGACUACAAAUAUAGACCCAGGCGGAAACCCAAAAACCUUCUUAAGAAGGACAGGUAUGUGUUUCCUCUGCCCUACCUGGGUGACACAGAUCACCUGAAAGGACUUCCGGUUACUGCCACGGACUCUCUCUUAGGUUCUACGGAAAAAGCUCGUGCAUUUCUGCCACCAACAUCUGCCCCUUACUCCUUCCUCGACCCGAGUCAGUUUAGCACCAGCGCCAUCCAGAAGAUGACAGAGAUGCCUCACACGUUGGCCACCAGCACUUUACCCUACGCAUCAUCUCUGGGAUACCAGAAUGGCGCAUUCGGGACCCUGGGUUGUCCCAGCCAGCACACCCACACCCAUCCGUCGCCUACAAACCCUGGGUAUGUGGUGCCCUGUAACUGCACCGCUUGGUCGGCAUCGAGUUUACAGCCGCCUGUUGCCUACAUACUGUUCCCAGGUAUGACCAAGAGUGGGAUUGACCCAUACUCAACAGCACAUGCCACUGCUAUGUGACUCCACCACUAUAACAUUCUACUCUUUGAAAACUUGAACACACCAAUGCAUGUACACAAGAAAAGAGGAAUGGUCAAGACAUUUAUACAUGAGUCCGUGUGGAAUUGAACUUUUCGCCAAGUACGAGAGGUUCCUUGGAUCUUGGAAUAAAUGAUUUUGGAACAAGGAAGAACCCAAAUGAGGACGUGAUGGAACAACACAGGACUUUAUUAACAAACAGGGUAUAUAUAUAUAUAUCAAAAUAUACUGCAAGACUUACUGGAAGACACUUUGACCACGAGGGAUUUGUGCCCCCUCUGUUUUAUUUUUGUAUUCAUGGUUACAAAUAAAAUUUUCAUCAUUUUGAGUUAAAUAAUAAUUUAACCUUAUCUCCUACGGGAUUUAGAAUGUUCAGUAACGUGACAUUACUGCCAGAUUCAAACGUCUUUCGCGUUGGUUGACGCUGAGUCAGACGGACGAGCUCAGCGCUGUCAUAUAUCAGCACUAUGCAGUGUUUUCAAACUCAUAAUGUUUAUUUUAGAUUUCAAACAUUUAAAUACACAUAAGCACUGUUUGUAAAAUACACCCUGAUGUCUGUGGAAGCAGCAAUAAAAAUCUAUUCAAAAAAGAUAAUAAUUUGCAAAUAAUAAAUACAAAUUAUUUUCAGAUAAUAAUCAUUUGCCAACGUGUGUUAUUCAUAUCAGACAAACACAGUGGAAGCAACUAUAAAGUUUACUCUAUUGUUAUAAAGGUUAUAAUGAUACCUGUUUGAAAGACGGAGAUGCGUACCUGUCAAGCAACUAUUACAUAACAGAGCGAGCGAGGACAGAGACGAACGUGCUGGAAAAAUAUAUGGAAUAAUUUGUGCAUCUUUGAAUAACUGAAAGAAUACAUUUCCUUUAAAUAUAAUUUUUGUCAUAUAAAGUUUUAAGAGAUAAUAAUGUUUUAUCCACUUUUAUUGCUUAUCUAGACUUGUGGUUAACAGCGUGUUUGGCGCAUUUAGCUUACCUCAGAGUUUAUUAAUAAUAAUACAAUUUACAUGUCAAUCCUGCUUCCUUGUCUGUUUAUUAAUUUCAUUAUGCUGUUAUGUUAAGUUAUAGACUAUGGGGAUAUUAAUUGCCAUAUAAAUUCUCUCGUCUAAUAUUCAAAUCAUAUGCGGAAUCAGAAUAAUGUGUGCAUCUUUGAAUAACUGUACGGAAGUUCCUUUGAAAAUAUAUAUUUUUUUCAAAGUUUUUUCAAAGUUUUGAGAAAUAAUGUAGUUAGGAUAUUUAUUGCAGACGUUUAUUGCCGUUGAAUGCUCUCGUCCAUA